GGGGCACAGCUGCGCUCCCAAGAGCUGAGCAGAAAUCCCAGCUGAUGCCCAGCAUUACAAAUUACUCUGUGACUACGCAGCACUGAAGCGAGAGAACGAUGCUUGGCUGCCCAGAAGCUGGGGGCUUUUUGAGCAGAAAAGACUUGUUCAAGAUGAAUGGCAUGAGAAGCGAGCUCAAUGACCAAAGGAUACCCUGCUAAAAAGACAAGAAGCCACAUCACUCCACGGCUUAUCCAUCUGGAGCUGCUACAGUACCCACGGGUGGAGAACGAAGUGACCUGGCAACGGGAGGAAGCAAUUCCAACCAGGCUAAAAAUCUCCACCCAGGAAGCAGGGCAUCAAGUGACCAGGCAUGAGAAGGUUCCUUCCAUGAUAUGGCUACAGAGGCAUCCUGACACACAGCUCGGAAGAACGGCAAGCUUCGUGCUCUCCCCUGGAACUACCAAGUCUCUACUCCAGCUCAGUUCAGUUUAGCUAGCACGUGGCUCUGUCCUGGUUCGCAAUCCUCUGCUGCAAGUAAAGGGCUGACUCAGUUUACAGCACAAAAGAGAGUCCUAAGUGUCAGCCAAGGAAUGCUAGAUGAUGAGAAAAUAAAGCACAGGGGCUCAAACUUGUUUUAAUACAGCACUUACAUACACAGCGAUAGAGCAGAAGACAAAAUGUUUAUGAAAUACCAACUAACUUGCUACAGUUCAGUUUGCAAAUAGUUUUAAAACGGAAUGACCAAUUAACACUUACUUCAAUAAGAAGCUAAGAAAAUAGCUAGGGCUUAUCAAACAAUGUUAAUCUAGUGGCAGAUAAACAUAAUCAAAAUCUCAUUUCACCUACCAUUUAACUCUUUAUUUUCUCCCUGCUUUUUCAGUGUGCUUCAGCGUCCCAAGCCACAUAGCCCUGACCCUUCAUUCCUGUUUUUCUUUUAUCCAUCAACCUGCCUUGUCUUACCUCUCAGGAGUAGGCCCACACCAUACACACUCACAGUGAUGAUGUGUGAAAUCCAUCGGUGGACUUUCGGAAAUCUGCCUGGGAGUAUGAAUAGCUCGUCUGAAAGCUGUUUUCUCAUCAAAUGACUCAAUCUGUGUAUCCACCCAAGAUUGACGGGACUGAGACCCAUCCAUGCCAGACCAGAAACGAUCAGGAGCCAUUACAUUCCCUACAUGAGUCAUUACAUUGAGCAGCUGCUGCUUCUUUGGGAAUUUCCUUGGACUACAUCUUUGCUCGAGGAAGAAGAAAGCUAUUUCCCACCCUUGCAAAGGGGGAAUGUGCACAAGUAAAGAGGAAGGAAAAGCUACAUCCAUAUGACAAAGACAAGUGAAAAAGGAAGGUUUUGGGAGUUGUCAGAGAGAGAUGUAGGAACAAACCUUCAGGUGAGAGGGAAAGCGAUGCCUGCAGGGCACGCGGUCUCAGACAGCAAGAAGCAGCUCUCACCUCUGCCAGAGGCAGAGAAGGUUCACCCUGAGCAGCCUGCCCGCCUGCCAUCCCAGAAUCUGAUGAGCAGACAGUUUGUACCUGAAGGACAGACAAAACAAAACCCAGUUCAUUUAGGAAUGCUACUGGUUUCAGAUGAUUUCUA